rnacentral:rRNA from 1 species
CCUACGGGAGGCAGCAGUCGAGAAUUUUUCACAAUGGACGAAAGUCUGAUGGAGCGACGCCGCGUGGAGGAUGAAGGUUCUUGGAUUGUAAACCCCUGUCACUGCAGAACAAGGGUGCGUCAUUUAAAAGAUAGCGCAUUUGAUGGUAUGCGGAGAGGAAGGGACGGCUAACUCUGUGCCAGCAGCCCCGGUCAU